GCACUGCUGAGGAGUCCCAUAAUAGGAAGAGACGGCCGUCCAGUGC
rnacentral:hammerhead_ribozyme from 1 species